rnacentral:lncRNA from 1 species
GCAACAUAGUGAGACCCAACUCUACAAAUAAGAGAUUGUGUGUCCGGAGGCUGAACUCACAAAGAUUUCAGAAUGUCAGUAGGAGAGGAGGUGUGUGGGAUAGCAGCCAAUUCGUCAGUGAAUGAGGCAGAGAAAUUGGUAAAAAGAAGGAAAGUGAAAACAAGAAGCAUGUUCCCAUUUUCAAGGUCUUCCUGGUUCACAAAGUGGGAAGGAAGAAACUACUGAAGAGGAAAGAGUUCUCUUGAAGAGUACAGAAUUCCUGGGCUCCCCGGUUCAGGUCAUAAAAAGAAAAGAGAAAACGUUUGCAGCCAUGCAGGGUGAACAAGCUCUGAAGAUAUAUUAUACGGACUAGGGGUUGUAAUCAAUGUUAGGGACCAUCCCCUACUUCUGAGGGCUCUGAGGCAGGAGAAUAGGGUGAGGGAAGAGAGAGACCCUCUCAUAUUGUUUUAUAUUGUUUUAUACUCAAUACCUGUUUUAAAAAAAAAACAACAAGGAAGUAAAACCAAAGACAGGCAGCCCGGCGCCAGGCCCGAAACCAGGCCUGGGCCUGCCUGGCCUAAACCCAGUAGUUAAAAAUCAACUGAUAACUUAAAAACCGAUGUUAUUCAUAGAUUCCAGACAUUGUAUAGAACAACAUUGUGAAACUCCCUGCCCUGUUCUGUUUCUCUCUGACCACCGGUGCAUGCAGCCCCUGUCACGUACCCCUUGCUUGCUCAAAUCAAUCACGACCCUUUCAUGUGAAAUCCUUAGAGUUGUGAGCCCUUAAAAGGGACAGGAAUUGCUCACUCGUGGAGCUCGGAUUUCAAGGCAGUAGCUUGCCAAUGCUCCCAGCUGAAUAAAGCCCUUCCUUCUACAACUCGGUGUCUGAGAGGUUUCGUCUGUGGCUCGUCCUACUACAAGGGAAUUAGGGUAACCAGGGGUUAAGGUAGAAGCAAAAGAACCGCACUUGCAGCCAGUUCUAGGCAAGAUUAGGCAGCACACAGGCCACAUCCUCACUCCUGUGAUAACGAGACAGAAGCCUCCACUCCAGCCUCUGAUUGACCGUGGGCCAAGCCUCCACUCCAACCUCUGAUGGACGGUGGGCCAAGCCUCCACUCCAACCUCUGAUGGACGGUGGGCCAAGCCUCCACUCCAGCCUCUGAUUGACCGUGGGCCAAGUCUCCACUCCAGCCUCUGAUGGACGGUGGGCCAAGUCUCCACUCCAGCCUCUGAUGGACCGUGGGCCAAGUCUCCACUCCAGCCUCUGAUGGAUGGUGGGCCAAGCCUCCACUCCAGCCUCUGAUGGACCGUGGGCCAAGUCUCCACUCCAGCCUCUGAUGGACGGUGGGCCAAGUCUCCACUCCAGCCUCUGAUGGACCGUGGGCCAAGUCUCCACUCCAGCCUCUGAUGGAUGGUGGGCCAAGCCUCCACUCCAGCCUCUGAUGGACGGUGGGCCAAGCCUCCACUCCAGCCUCUGAUGGACGGUGGGCCAAGUCUCCACUCCAGCCUCUGAUGGACGGUGGGCCAAGCCUCCACUCCAGCCUCUGAUUGACCGUGGGCCAAGUCUCCACUCCAGCCUCUGAUGGACGGUGGGCCAAGCCUCCACUCCAGCCUCUGAUUGACCGUGGGCCAAGUCUCCACUCCAGCCUCUGAUGGACGGUGGGCCAAGUCUCCACUCCAGCCUCUGAUGGACCGUGGGCCAAGUCUCCACUCCAGCCUCUGAUGGAUGGUGGGCCAAGCCUCCACUCCAGUCUCUGAUGGACGGUGGGCCAAGUCUCCACUCCAGCCUCUGAUGGACAGUGGGCCAAGUCUCCACUCCAGCCUCUGAUGGACGGUGGGCCAAGCCUCCACUCCAGCCUCUGAUGGACGGUGGGCCAAGCCUCCAUUCCAGCCUCUGAUGGACGGUGGGCCAAGUCUCCACUCCAGCCUCUGAUGGAUGGUGGGCCAAGCCUCCACUCCAGCCUCUGAUGGACGGUGGGCCAAGCCUCCACUCCAGCCUCUGAUUGACCGUGGGCCAAGCCUCCACUCCAACCUCUGAUGGACGGUGGGCCAAGCCUCCACUCCAGCCUCUGAUGGACGGUGGGCCAAGUCUCCACUCCAGCCUCUGAUGGACGGUGGGCCAAGCCUCCACUCCAGCCUCUGAUGGACGGUGGGCCAAGUCUCCACUCCAGCCUCUGAUGGACGGUGGGCCAAGCCUCCACUCCAGCCUCUGAUGGACGGUGGGCCAAGCCUCCAUUCCAGCCUCUGAUGGACGGUGGGCCAAGUCUCCACUCCAGCCUCUGAUUGACCGUGGGCCAAGCCUCCACUCCAGCCUCUGAUGGACGGUGGGCCAAGUCUCCACUCCAGCCUCUGAUGGACGGUGGGCCAAGCCUCCACUCCAGCCUCUGAUGGACGGUGGGCCAAGCCUCCAUUCCAGCCUCUGAUUGACCGUGGGCCAAGCCUCCACUCCAACCUCUGAUGGACGGUGGGCCAAGCCUCCAUUCCAGCCUCUGAUGGACGGUGGGCCAAGUCUCCACUCCAGCCUCUGAUGGAUGGUGGGCCAAGCCUCCACUCCAGCCUCUGAUGGACGGUGGGCCAAGUCUCCACUCCAGCCUCUGAUGGACGGUGGGCCAAGCCUCCACUCCAGCCUCUGAUGGACGGUGGGCCAAGCCUCCAUUCCAGCCUCUGAUGGACGGUGGGCCAAGCCUCCAUUCCAGCCUCUGAUGGACGGUGGGCCACGCCUCCACUCCAACCUCUGAUUGACCGUGGGCCAAGCCUCCACUCCAGCCUCUGAUGGACGGUGGGCCAAGCCUCCAUUCCAGCCUCUGAUGGACGGUGGGCCAAGCCUCCACUCCAACCUCUGAUUGACCGUGGGCCAAGCCUCCACUCCAGCCUCUGAUGGACGGUGGGCCAAGUCUCCACUCCAGCCUCUGAUGGAUGGUGGGCCAAGCCUCCACUCCAGCCUCUGACGGACGGUGGGCCAAGUCUCCACGUCAGCCUCUGACUGGUCGCAGGAUGUGACUUCGCUGUACGUUGAAGAGCAUCCACACUGUAUCGCAUACUUGAAAUUUGCUGAGAAGAUCGAUUAUGGGCCGGGGCGCGGUGGCUCAUGCCUGUAAUUCCAUUAAUUUGGGAAGCUGAGACGGGCGGAUCGCUUGAGCUCAGGAGUUUGAGACCAGCCUGGGCAACAUGGCGAAACCCCGUCUCUACAAAUAAUAUAAAAAUUAGCCGGGCAUGGGUGGCGCCUGUAUUCCCAGCUGCUUGGGAGGAAGAGGCAGUAGGAUCAUUUGAGCCCGGGAGGUGGAGGUUGCAGUGACCUGAGAUUGUGCCACUGUGCUCCAGCCUGGGUGGCAGAGUGAGGUUCUGUCUCAAAAAUAAAAAAAAUUUAAAAAAUGAUAGAUCAUAAGUGUUUCACCACAGACACACGGACACACACACAUACACACAUACGCACACAUACACACACACGUCAAAGAAACAAAAAGCAAGCCAGGAGUCGUGGCAUAUGUGUCUAGUCCCCUAGACACACACAGAGACACACCCGGACACACGGAAACACAUACGAACACACACCCACACACAGACACACACAUGGACAUACACACAUACGCACACAUACACACACACACGUCAAAGAAACAAAAAGCAAGCCAGGGGUUGUGGCAUAUGCUCUUAGUCCCCACUACUGGGGAGGCUGAGGCAGGAGGAUUACUUGAGGCCAGGAAUUAAGCAAAUAAAUAAUGAAAUGAAAAUAGUCACUAUGUGAGUUGACGAAUACAUUAAUUAGCUUGAUUGUAGUAUAAUUACACCAUGAAUAGGGAUAUGUAAACACCAGCAUGGUGACCUUAGUCACCAAGGACAGGUAGAGGCCAGGAAUUGGAGAGCAGCCUGGGCAACACAGUGAUACCCCCAUCUUUACAAAAAAAUCUUUUAAAAUUAGCCAAGUGUGGUGGUGCUUGCCUGUAAUUCCAGAUACUCACUCAGGAGGCUGGAGCAGGAGGCUCUCUUGAGCCCAGGGGUUCAAGGCUGCAGUGAGCUAUGAGUUUUCCAUUGCACCCAGCCAAGGUGAGUGAGACCUUGGCUCUAAAAAUAAAUCAAUCAAUAAACAAAUUUAUCCACACAGGUAGGAGAUCUCUACAAGAAAAACUAUAAAAUACUGAUGAGAGGAAAUGAAGAGGGCACACAAAUGGAAAGAUAGUCCAUGUUCAUAAAUCGGAAGAAUUCACAUUGUGAAAAUGACCACACUAUUAAUAGAGAUCUAUAGAUCCAACUCAAUCCCUACCAAAAUGCCAAGGACAUUCCUUAUGAGAACAUGACAUGUUUCAAGAGGAGAGGACUGGAGGGAAUUGGGUAGGUAGAUGGUGGUUUUAGGCAGAUUCUAGUUCAUUCCACUUAAUAACUCCAUUCUGAACUGACUCACUAUCAACGCCUCAAUUCUUAACAAGGAAAAAUAUCACAAAGUAUGAGAAAAUGCAUCAGGAAAUAAGUGUCAGAACUUUUUGGCAAAAUGACCUUGUGUCGGGCACUUUACUGACAUAAUCUUAUAUCAUCUUCCAAAGAACAUAUCAGGAAGGUAAUAAUUCCCUGGUUCUAUUCACAGGGAGCUUGAAGUUCACAAAAUUCAGUGGCUUAAGAUUUCCCAAGGAUUUAAACCAGAAUCAGUGUAAUAUUAAUAACCCUUCAAUGUAUGUUAAGUGUUAGAUGAGAAAAUUUACUCUGAAUUAAAAAUGAAUGAGCC